GAUGAACGCUAGCUACAGGCUUAACACAUGCAAGUCGAGGGGAAACGGCAUUAAGUGCUUGCACUUUUUGGACGUCGACCGGCGCACGGGUGAGUAACGCGUAUCCAACCUUCCCAUGACUAAGGGAUAACCUGCCGAAAGGCAGACUAAUACCUUAUGGUCUUCACUGACGGCAUCAGAUGUGAAGUAAAGAUUUAUCGGUUAUGGAUGGGGAUGCGUCUGAUUAGCUUGUUGGCGGGGUAACGGCCCACCAAGGCAACGAUCAGUAGGGGUUCUGAGAGAAAGGUCCCCCACAUUGGAACUGAGACACGGUCCAAACUCCUACGGGAGGCAGCAGUGAGGAAUAUUGGUCAAUGGGCGAGAGCCUGAACCAGCCAAGUAGCGUGCAGGAUGACGGCCCUAUGGGUUGUAAACUGCUUUUGUAUGGGGAUAAAGUCAAUCACGUGUGAUUGUUUGCAGGUACCAUACGAAUAAGGACCGGCUAAUUCCGUG
rnacentral:rRNA from 1 species